ACAAGCAUCAGUAGUAUUGCAUAUGUCUCAAAGGCCCAGCGUCCCACACUCUUCCUCCGUGGCCUUCGCCAUUCACUCUCAUCUCUUGGUUUCCAGCGAUUUGAAACCCAACUGGUUUUAGCCUUCUUCUCUGCUUGUAAAGGAGUCGCAUUUUCCACGUUUGAGAGAGAGACAGAGAUUUUGAGCCCGCCUUUGGCCUAAAGCAGCGAUCUUGAGUUUGUUUGAAAUGGGGAUGACGGGAUUCGUAGAAGGUAAAUCAGAAGUUAAACAAAAUAGAGCCCGGUCAAGACCCUUCAAGUCAUGUUCAAAUGGGGUGAGACUUGCAUCCUAUAUGGACCCUACUUUGAGAUCCUUGCUACUCACAGCCCAACCCCGAGACUAUGGCUACUCGAUGCCUAACUCCCGACUCCAAGAUCCAAGUCACUCAGCGCCCGAUCCCUAACCUCGGGACUAAGGUUACUCAGCACAUGACUCUCGACUUCGAGAUCCUUGCUACGUGGCGCACAACUCUUGACUAUGAGGUCCUUAUCAUUUGGCGUCUCUGUAGGGACGACAUGGUCAAGAAUGUAGAGAACGUAUGUGAGUAGGACAUCCUCUCAAUCUGAACGUGGGACAAGUGGAAAACGUGGGCUCCGCUUCCUCCGCUAGGGUAAAUGUAUAAAAGAGAGUCCACCACUACGGGCUUAGGUAUGCGUAGAUAAACUCAGACACUUCAUUCCACUUGACCAUAUGUUUUCUUUUUUGAUUUCUUCUCCGAUCAUCAGAGCUAAUUUAAGCGUCAGAGCGACUAUGUCAAGGUCUA